rnacentral:rRNA from 1 species
UUGGAGGGCAAGUCUGGUGCCAGCAGCCGCGGUAAUUCCAGCUCCAAUAGCGUAUAUUAAAGUUGUUGCAGUUAAAAAGCUCGUAGUUGAAUUUCGGGAUUAGUACGUCGGUCGUGCCUUAGGUACGUACUGGUGUUACUGGUUCCUACCUUCUGACGAACCAUCAUGUCAUUAAUUUGGUGUGGUGGGGAAUCAGGACUGUUACUUUGAAAAAAUUAGAGUGUCUAAAGCAGGCUCGCGCUUGAAUACAUUAGCAUGGAAUAAUGAAAUAGGACGUUGAUCCUAUUUUGUUGGUUUCUAGGAUUGACGUAAUGAUUAAUAGGGAUAGUUGGGGGCAUUAGUAUUCAAUUGUCAGAGGUGAAAUUCUUGGAUUUAUUGAAGACUAACUACUGCGAAAGCAUUUGCCAAGGAUGUUUUCAUUAAUCAAGAACGAAAGUUAGGGGAUCGAAGACGAUCAGAUACCGUCGUAGUCUUAACCAUAAACUAUGCCGACUAGGGAUCGGAUGAUGUUAUUUUUAAUGACUCAUUCGGCACCUUACGGGAAAC